AGCCCGGCCCACUACGCUAUCAUCGGCCCAACUCCCAUUUUGUCUUCUUUCUCGACGCCUCCUCUCUUCUUGCCCUUCUCCUCCGCCGGAUCUCGACGUUAUCUCUCCCUCAUCGCACCAACUAGCGCCGCCGCAAGAAGCGGAGUCCGUUGGCGAGUGGAAAACCCUCCUUGUCUACCUCCACAGCACAGCACUUUGUCUUCAUAUUCAAAACCCUCAGCGUCAUCGAACACCCCGAUGAUGAUGAAGACCUUGGUAUCAUGAUGGCGAAGAACUUGAUUUUAUGCCACUGCUUGGCAGGUUGUCAUUUCCAUCUCCAGACCUUUUAAAGAGUUCCUCUCGCUGUUAUCUAGCCCGACGAUCGCGCUCUAGGUCUAAAAGGAAAAGCAUAUGAAAAUGUCAUAGUUCUUUGGCUGAAGUUCAAACAAUAAUUCAGUCAAGAAAAACUCAGCUCUGUUAGCAAAGACCAAAAACACUGAUGAAAUCCACCAUCAGUCUCAUACUCAUGUUUAAAAGGGUAUCGCCGACAUGUUUGAAAGAAUGUUUAGGCAAUGAAAAAAUGUAUUUCCACUUA